GACGAACGCUGGCGGCGUGCUUAACACAUGCAAGUCGAACGAUGAAGCUUAGCUUGCUAGGUGGAUUAGUGGCGAACGGGUGAGUAACACGUAGGUAAUCUGCCCUGCACUUUGGGAUAAGCCUGGGAAACUGGGUCUAAUACCGAAUAGGACACACUAUCUUUACGGUGGUGUGUGGAAAGCUUUUGCGGUGUGGGAUGAGCCUGCGGCCUAUCAGCUUGUUGGUGGGGUAAUGGCCUACCAAGGCGUCGACGGGUAGCCGGCCUGAGAGGGUGUACGGCCACAUUGGGACUGAGACACGGCCCAG
rnacentral:rRNA from 1 species